ACACUCCAACUAUGGCUCAGUGUGGCUCCGGCUCUUCACAGGAGCGCAUCGUAUCAGCUACAGAGACGUUAGUUGGAGCUCAAGCAGGAAUCAUCACUGUACUGGAUCAUAAGGAGGAACCGAGCUUCUUUUACUGCUCAUUGGAAGUAAUCACACUGAUCGAUCUGCUUGAUUUGCCAAAGCACAAAUCUGUUUACGCAGGGAUUCUUUGGACGCAUUAAGUGGAUCAUAUGCAACCGUUGCAGCACUGACACACGUCAAGGAGUUAUUAAAAUUAUUAUUAUUAUUAUUGGAAAAACUGGAUCAUGAUGGCAGCAGCUAAUGGAUUCAACGCUCCAGCUGUGGAUCUUGUAGGAUAUAAGGGAAUCUCUUGCACGGAAUGCGUGCUGUCCAGCAACAGUUACUCGUGCUGCCCAAGUCCUGCUCCUGGACAAGUCUUUUGUCUCUUGGGAUACUUUACGCGUGUUCAAGUGUGGCCAGUGUCAUAGACGGCCAGUACAAUGAUAUGCUUUUGGAAAAUCGAUGUCUGUUGUGGCGGGAUUUGACAUACAGCAAUGGAAUAUCCUGGGAUUUUUUUUCUAUUGGUGCUCAGCAGAUGUCCAGCGAUUUGGAUAAUGUCAGUACGCAUCUCCUGAUCCAGCAGUGAAGGAAUCCAAAUUCCUGGAAUGAGGUGUCAACCCUUAAUUGCUUCCCAGGGAUCUUAUGAUGAUCUCAGGUGAGCAACGGGAAGAAGCUGACUAAUGGAAACAUGAUCUCAAGAGAUUCAACAGGAUCAUACUAAAUCGUGGUUUGGACUGUGGACCAGCAUCCCCCUGCAGCAGAUGUUUGCUCCUGGCAUGGCUGCUGACAGCCUGAGCUCCAUCACUGACAAUCUCACUCUCAGGAUCCAGCGCCAGCAACUUGGACUUGGAGAAGCUGAACUCAGAAGGACAGUUGAGUGUGUUCUGCUGCUCAGACAUUAAGGAACAGAUCAGUCAAUCCUGUCUGGAGAGGUGCUCUAAAGGAAACUCAAUGCAUAUUUUGUAUAUUUACCACAAUGGAUCUACAAAUUGUUUGACUUUUUUCUAAAUUGAACCUGGAUUAAUAUUUUCCCAUAUAUACAUCUGCUUUUGAUAUUCAGUGUUUAUUCACAUUGUUGCUCUUACGCUGUAGUUGUGACAUUUACUAUGUUAUUCUGGAUACAGUAUCAACAAGUGCUGGAACUGUAAACGGAAAAUAAUUAGAGGUUAUUUUCAUUUUUAGUACUAGUUUUACAGACUGAGGUCAGCACUAACACCAAUUUGAUUGCAAAGUACAGCAUAUACACAGUUUAUCUAACAAAGAGCGCGAUAAAUGUUUUCUAUUGUUAAAAUGAAUUGAAACACAUGUGAUCAAGCUUCCUCAGAAGGAUUACUCAGACACAGGAAAUGUAACUGCAUCAUUUGACAUUUGAUAUUCUAAUUGUGAUCACAAAGAAGCCAUUGUCACCAAGUUGCUGAUGAAUGCAAACCAAAAAAACUUCUCUAUUGACACUACAUUUCAUUGUAACACAUUGGCAACCUGUGUUUAUGUUAGUUAACAAACCUGUCAAGACACUUAAUCUCCUUAUGAUUUAUAGCUCCAUAACUAUGAAACCAUGUUUGCAAAAAUAAAAAAAAGCAUAACCAAACUCCUGUCUGUUAAGUUUAAUAACUGAUAAGAUGCUUUCACAAUGUUCGUUAUGCGUGUGUGCAUAUGUGUGUCCAUUGUUAUUGUUAGGCAUGUUGGCCUCAUUACCAGUCUGUUUAUGUGCCAAUCUGCUACUUUCUGAGGACUAUCUGGAGUUGCAUCACUCUUUUUCUACUCAACAAGAGGCAGAGUAAAAGUGAAGUUUAAACUGAAAAUGGAAAAAUGUGAAAUUUAAAUGAUGAUAAACUAAGCAGUUAUUGGAAAUCCCAGGGUUUUACUUCACUAAUACCUGUGUGGAUAAUAGGCCAAAUUUGAAGUGAUAUAAAAAUGUAUUGUGAAAAAACACAUUUAUUUAGAAUUUACUUUUAUAGUUACUUUUCUAGAAAUGAGAGUUUUCCUGAUAAAGAUGACAUAAUGGAAAAAUG